rnacentral:rRNA from 1 species
AAUGAACGCUGGCGGCGCGCCUAAUACAUGCAAGUCGAGCGAGAAGACGUAGCAAUACGUUUGUAAAGCGGCGAACGGGUGAGGAAUACAUGGGUAACCUACCCUAGAGUGGGGAAUAACUAGCCGAAAGGUUAGCUAAUACCGCGUACGCUCCUUGGACUUCGGUUCAGGGAGGAAAGCGAUACCGAGGGUAUCGCGCUCUUGGAUGGGCUCAUGUCCUAUCAGCUUGUUGGUGAGGUAACGGCUCACCAAGGCUUCGACGGGUAGCUGGUCUGAGAGGACGAUCAGCCACACUGGCACUGCGACACGGGCCAGACUCCUACGGGAGGCAGCAGUAAGGAAUAUUGCGCAAUGGGCGAAAGCUUGACGCAGCGACGCCGCGUGGGGGAUGAAGGUCUUCGGAUUGUAAACCCCUUUCGGAGGGAAGAUGGAACGAGCAAUCGUUCGGACGGUACCUCCAGAAGCAGCCAC